GGGAGCAGGCGCAGGACUUGAGUGGCACAGAAGCGGUCGCUGGGACAGCCACAGGAAGAGAAAAGAAGAAAGGGACCAUAAAGUCCUGCCUUCAAGAGGAGUCAGAACUUCCUUGGAAACUCAGAGAAGCCGCUAUAGAUUUGAGACCAGGGAGGAACCAGCCCGACGCUAUUUGCCCCAUCUCAAAGCCUUCUGUGUCUCUGUUGCAGCAGGAAGACGGACUGGCAGGGGUGCUAAGAAGAAUUAGGUCACUGUCACACUCUGAUGAUGGCUUGAACGAGGAGGACACGAAGAAGAAGAACCAGAUUCUAGACAUUUGUGGAAGGAUUUAUUUGGUAAACUGAACUCCAGAAUGACAGUCAACAACACAUGUUAACCUCAUAACCCUGGGCCCACCAGAGCGCCCUCAAAUGUGUGGGCGAAGGCUCUCGUGAAGAACAGGGGGCUCACGGGAGUAAGGACCCCGGAGCAUGGUGACUCCUCAGGGCUCUCAUACACGCAGGCCACCCACACACCCUCUGCACCCCUAACACAUGCCAUCCGCGCUGGCCCAAAGGUGUCUAUGUUCACUGCUUCUUCUGCCUGAAAACAGUUCUCCCACUUCCAGCCUCACACCUAUAUAUGAAGAAGUUGCCUAACUACCAAAAAGGGAGAUGCACAGUUGCAUGCUAUGAUAAUACUGUGAAUGAUAGUUCUGUCCUUGUGCAACAAAAAUCCUAAAAUCCUUGGAAUCUCUGAAAUAAGCACGUGCUUUUGCAUGUUAAUGAACUGACUGGUAGCAACCAGCACCAAGGCAAGAUCAGAGGAUUAGGACUCCCUCUGGGGAGGGACAGGGGCUGAAGGUUAAACUGAACGCCACUGACCAAUGAUGUAAUCAAUCAUGUCUAUGUAAUGAAACUUCCUCAGUGAAAACCGCAAAGUGCAAAGUUCCCAGGGCUCCCACACAGCUGGAAGUGUGGAGACUCCUCAGGGUGGCACGCUGAGAGAGAGCGGAGGGAAGCUCAAGGCCCCUUCCCUCACACCCUGUCCUAUGUCUUAUGCAUACCUUCAUCUGCGUAUCCUUUGUAACAUUAUCAUAAAUCGGCAAAUGUGUUUUGCUGCAUUCUGUAAGCCACUCUAUUAACUUACUGGAGCCUGAGGAGUGGAUUGUGGGAACCCCACAAUCACCCCGAUUUACAGUGGUCACUCAGAAGCACAAGGAAAAGACUGGCACCUGACCGGCAGGGGCGAGGGUGGAGGUCAGCCUUAGUCACUGAGUUCUCAGCCUGUGGGAUCAGACCUCCCCAGGUACAAGAUGUGAGAGCUGAACUGAGCUAGAGCACAAACUUCUGGUGUCCUUUGCAGAACCAGCUGCUUGUGUGACGUGAGGGAGCGGCACCCCACACGCAGGAGAAGCCGUGCCUGAGUUAUUGUUCUCUACUUGCACGGGCGGCAAGGGUUUCAGAAUCCAGAGAAGGGUACUGUCGCUGGGUGCUGGCGCUUAUUAUGCUGCAGGCAGGGGUGGGAGUCCUUGGAAAAUGCUUCCGGCACGAGCGGUGACACUUCCACCUCCCGAGCAGCCCCACGGGAACAGCCACACGGGCUCCUUGUCCUCUCGGCCUUCCUGCUUGGCCCUGAUCCCUGCCCAGUGCUCCACUUCCAAGGCAAGGAGACCCCGUUUUCCUCCCCCGGGGAGCGGAGCGCAGUGAUCACAGAUGGAACCGGCGCGGGCAGCUGUAGACACCGCGGACCUCACGAGCCACCUGUGGGUCCGUUUCUGUCAGGCUGCCUUGCUUUUCAAAACGG